rnacentral:rRNA from 1 species
ACUCGAUCUCAAANCAAGUAAGACUACCCGCUGAACUUAA